rnacentral:rRNA from 1 species
GACGAACGCUGGCGGCGUGCCUAAUACAUGCAAGUAGAACGCUGAAGAGAGGAGCUUGCUCUUCUUGGAUGAGUUGCGAACGGGUGAGUAACGCGUAGGUAACCUGCCUUGUAGCGGGGGAUAACUAUUGGAAACGAUAGCUAAUACCGCAUAACAAUGGAUGACACAUGUCAUUUAUUUGAAAGGGGCAAUUGCUCCACUACAAGAUGGACCUGCGUUGUAUUAGCUAGUAGGUGAGGUAAUGGCUCACCUAGGCAACGAUACAUAGCCGACCUGAGAGGGUGAUCGGCCACACUGGGACUGAGACACGGCCCAGACUCCUACGGGAGGCAGCAGUAGGGAAUCUUCGGCAAUGGGGGCAACCCUGACCGAGCAACGCCGCGUGAGUGAGGAAGGGUUUCGGAUCGUAAAGCUCUGUUGUAAGUCAAGAACGGGUGUGAGAGUGGAAAGUUCACACUGUGACGGUAGCUUACCAGAAAGGGACGGCUAACUACGUG